rnacentral:rRNA from 1 species
GUGUGUGUUAGUGGAAGCGUCUGGAAAGGCGCGCGAUACAGGGUGACAGCCCCGUACACAAAAAUGCACAUAUUGUGAGCUCGAUGAGUAGGGCGGGACACGUGGUAUCCUGUCUGAAUAUGGGGGGACCAUCCUCCAAGGCUAAAUACUCCUGACUGACCGAUAGUGAACCAGUACCGUGAGGGAAAGGCGAAAAGAACCCCGGCGAGGGGAGUGAAAAAGAACCUGAAACCGUGUACGUACAAGCAGUGGGAGCCUCUUAAUGGGGUGACUGCGUACCUUUUGUAUAAUGGGUCAGCGACUUAUAUUCUGUAGCAAGGUUAACCGAAUAGGGGAGCCGAAGGGAAACCGAGUCUUAACUGGGCGUUAAGUUGCAGGGUAUAGACCCGAAACCCGGUGAUCUAGCCAUGGGCAGGUUGAAGGUUGGGUAACACUAACUGGAGGACCGAACCGACUAAUGUUGAAAAAUUAGCGGAUGACUUGUGGCUGGGGGUGAAAGGCCAAUCAAACCGGGAGAUAGCUGGUUCUCCCCGAAAGCUAUUUAGGUAGCGCCUCGUGAAUUCAUCUCCGGGGGUAGAGCACUGUUUCGGCAAGGGGGUCAUCCCGACUUACCAACCCGAUGCAAACUGCGAAUACCGGAGAAUGUUAUCACGGGAGACACACGGCGGGUGCUAACGUCCGUCGUGAAGAGGGAAACAACCCAGACCGCCAGCUAAGGUCCCAAAGUCAUGGUUAAGUGGGAAACGAUGUGGGAAGGCCCAGACAGCCAGGAUGUUGGCUUAGAAGCAGCCAUCAUUUAAAGAAAGCGUAAUAGCUCACUGGUCGAGUCGGCCUGCGCGGAAGAUGUAACGGGGCUAAACCAUGCACCGAAGCUGCGGCAGCGACACUAUGUGUUGUUGGGUAGGGGAGCGUUCUGUAAGCCUGUGAAGGUGGCCUGUGAGGGUUGCUGGAGGUAUCAGAAGUGCGAAUGCUGACAUAAGUAACGAUAAAGCGGGUGAAAAGCCCGCUCGCCGGAAGACCAAGGGUUCCUGUCCAACGUUAAUCGGGGCAGGGUGAGUCGACCCCUAAGGCGAGGCCGAAAGGCGUAGUCGAUGGGAAACAGGUUAAUAUUCCUGUACUUGGUGUUACUGCGAAGGGGGGACGGAGAAGGCUAUGUUGGCCGGGCGACGGUUGUCCCGGUUUAAGCGUGUAGGCUGGUUUUCCAGGCAAAUCCGGAAAAUCAAGGCUGAGGCGUGAUGACGAGGCACUACGGUGCUGAAGCGACAAAUGCCCUGCUUCCAGGAAAAGCCUCUAAGCAUCAGGUAACAUCAAAUCGUACCCCAAACCGACACAGGUGGUCAGGUAGAGAAUACCAAGGCGCUUGAGAGAACUCGGGUGAAGGAACUAGGCAAAAUGGUGCCGUAACUUCGGGAGAAGGCACGCUGAUAUGUAGGUGAAGCGACUUGCUCGUGGAGCUGAAAUCAGUCGAAGAUACCAGCUGGCUGCAACUGUUUAUUAAAAACACAGCACUGUGCAAACACGAAAGUGGACGUAUACGGUGUGACGCCUGCCCGGUGCCGGAAGGUUAAUUGAUGGGGUUAGCGGUAACGCGAAGCUCUUGAUCGAAGCCCCGGUAAACGGCGGCCGUAACUAUAACGGUCCUAAGGUAGCGAAAUUCCUUGUCGGGUAAGUUCCGACCUGCACGAAUGGCGUAAUGAUGGCCAGGCUGUCUCCACCCGAGACUCAGUGAAAUUGAACUCGCUGUGAAGAUGCAGUGUACCCGCGGCAAGACGGAAAGACCCCGUGAACCUUUACUAUAGCUUGACACUGAACAUUGAGCCUUGAUGUGUAGGAUAGGUGGGAGGCUUUGAAGUGUGGACGCCAGUCUGCAUGGAGCCGACCUUGAAAUACCACCCUUUAAUGUUUGAUGUUCUAACG